GAGUUUGAUCGUGGCUCAGAGCGAACGCUGGCGGCAUGCCUAACACAUGCAAGUCGAACGAUGGCUUCGGCCAUAGUGGCGCACGGGUGAGUAACGCGUGGGAACCUGCCUUUUGGUUUGGGAUAACUCCGGGAAACUGGAGCUAAUACCGGAUGAGCCCGAGCAAUCGGGGAAAGAUUUAUCGCCAAAAAGAGGGGCCCGCGUCCGAUUAGGUAGUUGGUGGGGUAACGGCCUACCAAGCCUUCGAUCGGUAGCUGGUCUGAGAGGAUGAUCAGCCACACUGGGACUGAGACACGGCCCAGACUCCUACGGGAGGCAGCAGUGGGGAAUUGUUCGCAAUGGGCGCAAGCCUGACGACGCAACGCCGCGUGGAGGAUGAAGGUCUUCGGAUUGUAAACUCCUGUUGCCCGGGACGAAUGGCUUCGACCUAACACGUCGAGGUUUGACGGUACCGGGUGAGGAAGCCCCGGCUAACUCUGUGCCAGCAGCCGCCGU
rnacentral:rRNA from 1 species